CGGGGUGUAGCUCAGUGGUAGAGCAUGUGCUUAGCAUGCAGGUAGACCCCAGGUUCGAUCCCUGGUACCUCCA
rnacentral:tRNA from 1 species